GGUGAACGCUGGCGGCGUGCCUAAUACAUGCAAGUCGAGCGAACAGACGAGGAGCUUGCUCCUCUGACGUUAGCGGCGGACGGGUGAGUAACACGUGGAUAACCUACCUAUAAGACUGGGAUAACUUCGGGAAACCGGAGCUAAUACCGGAUAAUAUAUUGAACCGCAUGGUUCAAUAGUGAAAGGCGGUUUUGCUGUCACUUAUAGAUGGAUCCGCGCCGCAUUAGCUAGUUGGUAAGGUAACGGCUUACCAAGGCAACGAUGCGUAGCCGACCUGAGAGGGUGAUCGGCCACACUGGAACUGAGACACGGUCCAGACUCCUACGGGAGGCAGCAGUAGGGAAUCUUCCGCAAUGGGCGAAAGCCUGACGGAGCAACGCCGCGUGAGUGAUGAAGGUCUUCGGAUCGUAAAACUCUGUUAUUAGGGAAGAACAAAUGUGUAAGUAACUAUGCACGUCUUGACGGUACCUAAUCAGAAAGCCACGGCUAACUACGUG
rnacentral:rRNA from 1 species